CCGAGUUUACAACUCCCAAACCCAUGUGAACAUACCUAUCGUUGCUUCGGCGGAUCGAGCCCCGGGCGCCUGCGUGAACCGGGAUCCAGGCCGGCCGCAGGGGAUCCUAACUCUGUUUUCUAUUGUAGAAUCUUCUGAGUACGUACAAAUAAAUCA
rnacentral:misc_RNA from 1 species